AGUGAACGCUGGCGGUAGGCCUAACACAUGCAAGUCGAACGGCAGCACAGUAAGAGCUUGCUCUUACGGGUGGCGAGUGGCGGACGGGUGAGGAAUACAUCGGAAUCUACUUUUUCGUGGGGGAUAACGUAGGGAAACUUACGCUAAUACCGCAUACGACCUACGGGUGAAAGCAGGGGAUCUUCGGGCCUUGCGCGAUUGAAUGAGCCGAUGUCGGAUUAGCUAGUUGGCGGGGUAAAGGCCCACCAAGGCGACGAUCCGUAGCUGGUCUGAGAGGAUGAUCAGCCACACUGGAACUGAGACACGGUCCAGACUCCUACGGGAGGCAGCAGUGGGGAAUAUUGGACAAUGGGCGCAAGCCUGAUCCAGCCAUACCGCGUGGGUGAAGAAGGCCUUCGGGUUGUAAAGCCCCUUUGUUGGGAAAGAAAAGCAGCAGGUUAAUACCCCGCUGUUCUGACGGUACCCAAAGAAUAAGCACCGGCUAACUUCGUG
rnacentral:rRNA from 1 species